AGCAGCCGCGGUAAUUCCAGCUCCAAUAGCGUAUAUUAAAGUUGUUGCAGUUAAAAAGCUCGUAGUUGAAUUUCGGGAUCAGUACGCCGGUCGUGCCUUCGGUAUGUACUGGUGUCACUGAUUCCUCCCUUCUGACGAACCGUUAUGCCAUUUAUUUGGUGUGGCGGGGAAUCAGGACUGUUACUUUGAAAAAAUUAGAGUGUUUAAAGCAGGCUCGCGCUUGAAUACAUUAGCAUGGAAUAAUGAAAUAGGACGUUUGAUUCUAUUUUGUUGGUUUCUAGGAUCGACGUAAUGAUUAAUAGGGAUAGUUGGGGGCAUUAGUAUUCAAUUGUCAGAGGUGAAAUUCUUGGAUUUAUUGAAGACUAACUACUGCGAAAGCAUUUGCCAAGGAUGUUUUCAUUAAUCAAGAACGAAAGUUAGGGGAUCGAAGACGAUCAGAUACCGUCGUAGUCUUAACCAUAAACUAUGCCGACUAGGGAUCGGAUGAUGUUAAUUUUUAAUGACUCAUUCGGCGCCUUAC
rnacentral:rRNA from 1 species